AGCGGGAUUGAAGCUUGCUUCAAUUGCCGGCGACCGGCGCACGGGUGAGUAACGCGUAUCCAACCUUCCGUACACUCAGGGAUAGCCUUUCGAAAGAAAGAUUAAUACCUGAUGGUAUGAUGAGAUUGCAUGAUAGCAUCAUUAAAGAUUUAUCGGUGUACGAUGGGAAUGCGUUCCAUUAGGUAGUAGGCGGGGUAACGGCCCACCAAGGCGACGAUGCGUAGGGGUUCUGAGAGGAAGGUCCCCCACAUUGGUACUGAGACACGGACCAAACUCC
rnacentral:rRNA from 1 species